GACAGAGGGUGCAAACGUUGCUCGGAAUCACUGGGCGUAAAGGGCGUGUAGGCGGGAAGGAAAGUCAGAUGUGAAAUCCCCAGGCUCAACCUGGGAACUGCAUUUGAAACUCCCUUUCUUGAGUACCGGAGAGGAAAGUGGGAUUCCUGGUGUAGAGGUGAAAUUCGUAGAUAUCAGGAGGAACACCAGUGGCGAAGGCGGCUUUCUGGACGGUAACUGACGCUGAGACGCGAAAGCGUGGGGAGCAAACAGG
rnacentral:rRNA from 1 species